rnacentral:lncRNA from 1 species
GAGUAGCCCUGGCAAGGUUACGUGCAUGUGUAUGAGCGUACAUGUGAGUAUAACCUCCAGGGAGUAGCCCUGGCAAGGUUAUGUGCAUGUGUAUGUGCGUACAUGUGAGUAUAACCUCCAGGGAGUAGCCCUGGCAAGGUUACGUGCAUGUGUAUGAGCGUACAUGUGAGUAUAACCUCCAGGGAGUAGCCCUGGCAAGGUUAUGUGCAUGUGUAUGUGCGUACAUGUGAGUAUAACCUCCAGGGAGUAGCCCUGGCAAGGUUACGUGCAUGUGUAUGAGCGUACAUGUGAGUAUAACC